GCCAUUUUCAUUUUCUCCUAAAGGGAGUGAAAAGCAACCACCACACCACCACCUCCACUCAGCCGACAUCAAAUUCAAAGGUCAACCAACAAUGACUGAUGUCCACGUGGUGCGCGAGACUGUUGCUCUAUGAGAUAAGCAUAUCCAUCUACUGUGGGCCUGUGGCUGUGGCUGUGGAGGUGGACACAGGAAUUAAACGCAACUAUGGCGAUUUUAGAGUAAGACGAUACCUAUCUAAUGACAAUCCAGCUUAUGUCGAUAUCAUGCUAAUUUGAUAAUGUAUAUGAAAAUCAUUUUAGAGUGAAUUGUCUAUUUGCCUGUAUAUUUUCAACUUCA